rnacentral:piRNA from 1 species
UUCAUACCAUUGUCUACCUGUGAUUCC